UUCUCCAAGAUGUCGAGCGCCUUCGCCUCC
rnacentral:sRNA from 1 species